rnacentral:rRNA from 1 species
GACGAACGCUGGCGGCGUGCCUAAUACAUGCAAGUAGGACGCAGUUGCGAACGGGUGAGUAACGCGUAGGUAACUGCAUAUUAGCGGGGGAUAACUCUUGGAAACGCUAGCUAAUACCGCAUACUCGUAGAUGGACCUGCGUGGUAUUAGCUAGUAGGUAGGGUAAUGGCCUACCUAGGCGACGAUACAUAGCCGACCUGAGAGGGGGGUCGGGCACAAUGGGACGUAGACACGGCCCAGACUCCUUAGGGAGGCAGCAGUAGGGAAUCUUCGGCAAUGGGGGGAACCCUGACCGAGCAACGCCGGGUGAGUUAAGAAGGGUUUCGGAUCGUAAAGCUCUUUUGGUAAGGAAGCGGUACUUAACCAGAAAGGGACGGCUAACUACGUGCCAGCAGCGGCGGUAAUAC